rnacentral:rRNA from 1 species
GACGAACGCUGGCGGCGUGCUUAACACAUGCAAGUCGAACGGAAAGGCCCUGCUUUUGUGGGGUGCUCGAGUGGCGAACGGGUGAGUAACACGUGAGUAACCUGCCCUUGACUUUGGGAUAACUUCAGGAAACUGGGGCUAAUACCGGAUAGGAGCUCCUGCUGCAUGGUGGGGGUUGGAAAGUUUCGGCGGUUGGGGAUGGACUCGCGACUUAUCAGCUUGUUGGUGGGGUAGUGGCUUACCAAGGCUUUGACGGGUAGCCGGCCUGAGAGGGUGACCGGCCACAUUGGGACUGAGAUACGGCCCAGACUCCUACGGGAGGCAGCAGUGGGGAAUAUUGCACAAUGGGCGGAAGCCUGAUGCAGCAACGCCGCGUGCGGGAUGACGGCCUUCGGGUUGUAAACCGCUUUCGCCUGUGUCGAAGCGUGAGUGACGGUAAUGGGUAAAGAAGCACCGGCUAACUACGUG